rnacentral:tRNA from 1 species
CUGAUAAUAAGGGUCUGACUCCUGUGUGUGAAUUUACAGUUCACCGCCUUGCCUCGGCCAUAUUACC